ACUGGAAACAAACCCCUCAGCACGAUGACUCCAGACCUGCACGAGCCACUCAGCUGAGCCUCGUGUUCACCAACGUCACAAACAGUCCUGGAAAUUUCGUUAGUGACACGAGAAUUGCCACUGUCAGCAAAGCCCUCCAGGACCUCACCAGGGCUCCCCUGUGUGCCAGCAACGCCGGUGCCAGGCUAAUUUCUUAAGACAGCGUGUAAAGAAGACCACGCAGGCAAACCAAGCCAGACACUCUUGCGGCAGGUUAGGAUGAAUCCAGACCCCAUUCCGGGCCGUGUGCUGCCUGCGGGAGCAUCUCCCAUCCGCAGAACCACCACGGCUUUCCCGACAAGAGCAACACGACAUCAGGGUUUUUCCACUGUGCCUAAUAAUCGUAACAUCUCACUCGCCA